rnacentral:rRNA from 1 species
AUGACUUUGUCCUUUUGCACAGAUCGCAUCUCAAGAUUAGAAGGAAAUCCCCUAUGUUCAAAAGUCAAUGAUACAUACUGUUCAAAUAAGAAAAAGAACACCACAUCUACUGUGCUCAUCGCCGUGAUAGUUCCUGUGGUACUGAUAUCCCUCCUAGUAGUUAUGUGCAUAAUCUGGAAGUUAUGCUGGAAAGGAGAGCCAGGAGUCCAUGAAGAUUAUGCUAUGUAUGAAGAGGAAACUCACCUACAUAUUGAGAUUAGACGGUUUACGUAUGCAGAGUUGAAGCUCAUAACAAACGACUUCCAAUCAAUCAUUGGAAAAGGUGGUUUUGGUAUAGUUUACCAUGGCACACUGGAAAAUGGUAAAGAAAUAGCUGUUAAGGUGCUUAUGGAGACGUCAAUAGCGGAGUCAACAGAUUUUCUCCCUGAGGUGCAAACCUUGUCCCAAGUUCAUCACAAGAAUCUGGUGACUUUGCAAGGAUAUUGCCAAAACAAGAAGUGCCUCGCACUUGUUUAUGACUUCAUGCCCAGAGGAAAUCUUCAACAGCUUUUGAGAGGAGAAGACUGUAGUUUGAAUUGGGAACAACGAGUUCAUAUUGCCCUUGAUGCUGCACAAGGACUGGAGUAUCUACACGAGUCAUGCACCCCAUCAAUAGUGCACAGAGAUGUGAAGACGCCUAACAUCCUUGUGGACAAGAAUCUGGUGGGGGUAAUAUCUGAUUUUGGGCUUUCACGGGCCUUUAGUGAUGCUCACACACACAUAUCUACUGUUGCUGCUGGCACUAUUGGCUAUCUCGACCCUGAGUACCAUGCAACUUUUCAACUCACUGUCAAGGCAGAUGUUUACAGCUUCGGCAUCGUGCUUUUGGAAAUCAUCACUGGCCAACCCCCAAUACUUAUGGACCCUCAAGCUGUCCACCUACCAAAUUGGGUGCGCCAAAAGAUAGCGAAGGGCGGCAUUCAUGAUGUAGUAGACGAGAAGCUGCUAGAUCAGUACGAUGCCAGUUCGAUGCAGUGUGUGGUGGACCUUGCCAUGAACUGCGUCGAAAGCAUAGCCUUCAAUAGGCCCACCAUGACCGAGGUUGUUUCCAAGCUCAAAGUAUGUUUGCCAACAAUUUCUAGCGAAAAGAAGUCCGCUUCUGGGACCAAUACUGAACUUCCAAGCCAGUUCCAGCUGACGAUUUCAGGAGCAAGCAACGGCGGGAGAUAUACCGGUGGGACGUCACAAAUGAGCAUCUUUUCUGGACGAUGA